rfam:Toxocara canis scaffold280, whole genome shotgun sequence.
CGGGUAGUAGCUCAGUGGUAGAGCUGCCGCUUCGUAUGCGGGAAGACCUGGGUACGAUUCCGGGCUGCUUCC